UUUUAUUCAGGGGGCGUGCCGGGAAACGGUCAAGUACACGGGAGCCGCAUUGGGAGUGACGGCGCUUGGGCUGACUGCCUUGGCUAUAAAGAAAAGAAAUCCAAUGAUCAUGCUACCAGUUGUGCCACAAAUUAUAAUUGUGGGAUCACAACUGGACUGUGGAUAUGGCAGCUUGGUCGAGUGAAUUAACAGGCAGGCAGAAAGUAUAAAACAAUCAAGACCCCCAAAAUAAGAUGUGGCUUCGAGCAGCUCCUGCGGUCAUCAAACAUUUGAGAGGAAAGACUGUGAGCCUUUCCUGUCCUCUAAGGCUUUCCUGAACUUCAGGUUUGACAGAGAUGCCAUCAUGAAGAGUUUUGACUACUGAUAUCACUGCUGUUGAUCUGUGCCUCCUCUGUAACAUCAAACCUCGAUCUCAGGAGACUUUUUUAAGUUAUGGAUGUGAGUAAACAAGCUCCUUCUCAUCUUGACUUGCUUUUCGUGCGCACACAUUUACCAAGGGAAGUUGCCUGUUUGUCAUUGGCAGCAUGGAGUAUCACGUAGUAGAGGACUACACAGGUAAAUCAUCUUUUACAGGCAAAUUAUGUUUUGAAAACAUUUACUGUCAACAUUUUAUGAUGACAGUAAAAGGUGGGAAAUGAAUCAUUAGUGCAUUUGGCCAGCAAAUCAUUAUUAAAUCUGUCAAGUUAUGUAUUGAUUUUAAGGUAUUUGGAUAAUAGUCUCCUCCAGUCAUUCAGUUAGGUAGCAUAAAUGUUCUGCAUGCUGACUUUUAACAGUGAUAUUAAAUUACAGUGUUAUUAGCUUCUUUUUCCCUCUAAAGCUACUUAAGAUUUUAUGCAAGAACAUAACGACUUGGGAGAGGAGGAAAGUUGUCUUUAAAUUAAAUCUGAUUAAAUUCACGUGACUCUGUUGUGUACGGCUGCCAGUAUUUGAAACAAAAUCACUAAAUCAGACUGAUGUUUGAGGAUCCAGGAUUAAAUGAGAAGGUCAGCCAUGAUGAGAAUUUCCAUCCUGAAAACUAACUGAAUGACCGUGAAACGAGAUGCUGCAUCAGAAUGAAAUCAAACUGAGGACAGUUCAGAUGGAGCCUGGACUGUAUCCCAGAUUAAAUGAAAAUUUAAAAGGCUGACUUUUGUCAUAUAUCAUGCACCCAAAAGUCUGUUUUUAACAGUCUUAAUUAUAACUUGUUGCCAUCUCAAUUUCCAAUAUUUCUUAAAGGAAAAGUUCUCCAUUAUUGCGACAGUACUCAUGUCACAUGAUGGAAGAUAACUGCAGUGAACCACUACAUUUGAAAACAAAAGCAAAGUCAGUUUUCAGAGAUUAAAUUUCCAUCACAUGAGUACCUGUUCUGGAAGUCUUUCAACCCACGUGUAGCACUUCUUAUUCUCCCAACGUGGUGUCAUACACAUGAGCAAUGACUGCAAUGCAAGAGCUCCUCGUGUGAAGUUCAUUCCUGGGACUUGGAAUUGACUGUAAUUGAUUUUGUGGUGUUUUGACUUUAAAUGGGAAUGUUAAUAAAGUCUGUUUCUUAUUUCAUUCUCAGCUUUUAACUUCCUAAAAAAUAAAAUCAAGAUACAUCAAGAAAUACAGUUCAAA